GUGAGACCCUUGUCUUCACAGAGUUGAGCAAAAUAGAAAGGAACCCAUAACCAGGUUACCUAAAAUCUAAUAUAAUGUAAUUAUUCAAAUCUUAAUGUCAUAAUUCUAAGGGGAAUUAAAUAAUGAUCAAGCCAAUUCAAGGAAAAUAAUCAAAAUAUAAUCAUAAAAGUUAUCAACGUUAAGGAGUAGCAUAUGUAUAAUGUCAUUCUUCAAAGUCCCUUGCAGAGUGAGAUUAUCACCCUGCACUUGGUCACACAAACAAUUUAAUAAACAAUUUACCUACAAUUAAAACUAUAAUGGUAACAUGGCCAAAAUCUCUUCGCAGAACCAGCCUUUUUUAGUGAGAACACACGCUAUCGAUCCCAUGAUCCACUGAUCAUAUUUUAGUUCCAUCAAAUAGAGAAAUAGAGAUUAUCAAAGCUCACGAGGAAUCUGCUUGGUAACAACUUCAGAAGCUAAAAAGGAUAGUACUUUUUCGCUAGUUUCUUUACCAAUUUCUUGUUUUUUGUUUAUUGUUCAAGGCUUCAACAUCCAUCCAGUGGUCUAGCCCUUUCAUCUCAACCUGCAUACGGAAGAAUAAAGCAAUUGAAAUUAACCCAGCAAAGAGGGAAAGGAAACACUUGAGAAGAAAUUGACAUUCAAUUCCUCCCUUCUUGCAUUCUUUUAUGAUAGAAAAACUCACUUCUUUGAUUCUUUCCACUUCUCAAUUGACAAAGAUUCCUCAUUCAAGGGCUUAUUGAGAAAAUGGUAGAUAUGAGGCUCUGCUGUAGUGGUACAAAGCCAAGCAUAAAUUUGUGUACAAAACUUUAUCAAAACAAACUCAUACAGACAAUGAAAAAAAAAAGCAUGACAAAGAUAGAAAGCAACAAAUUACUUCGAAACAAUGCAUUUAGUUGUAAACUUCCUAUAAAUCUCACUAAUUGCCUCCACCAAGUGUUAGAAGGGUCAUUGGUUCAUUGAUUUCUUUUUCAAUAAAAUUGUCUUUGAAGGCAUUGGAUUAUGGAAUUUGAACACCCUCUAAAGAAGCAAUAUCCAUCUAAGUUUUUAUAUGUAAACUGAUUGAGUCUCAAAGCAUUAACUAAUUCUUGCCUAAACCCUUAACUAAAUUUUCAAGACAACACAGAACAACCUAUAAGGGUUAUAAAAUGAAGAGCUGUAUAGAAAAGUCAAAUAACCUAUAAAAAACCAUUCUAAAGAUUGUUCAAUUCUGACCACUCUAUGGAUAAGAACUUGUUUGUAGUACCUUCCGGGUUUAACAAU
rnacentral:lncRNA from 1 species